rnacentral:rRNA from 1 species
UAUUAUUAAUAUCCAAUUAAAAGAGUUGGAAAGUACGAACAAUAGUUUAAACACCAAAGAAUUUGGCGGUGUCUUAGUUAAUUAGGGGAACCUGUUCCUUAAAUCGAUAAUCCACGAAUGUCUUUCCUAACUUUGAAAUCCAGUUAGUGUACUGCCGUCUCAAGUAUACCUUUAUGAGAGUAUACAAUAAAUUUAUUUAUAUUAUACGUCAGGUCAAAGUGCAGCUUAUAGUUAGGUGGAGAUGGGUUACAAUCUAAAUAAAGAAUACGAAUAAUAGUAAUAAACUACUAUUUGAAGGUGGACUUAACAGUAAUUAUUUAUACUAUAAUGAAAACUAUAUAAGACAAGU